UACGGAGGGUGCGAGCGUUGUCCGGAAUCAUUGGGCGUAAAGGGCGCGUAGGUGGCCCGGUCAGUUCGUGGUGAAAGCGCGGGGCUCAACCCUGCGUCGGCCAUGAAUACUGCCGCGGCUGGAGCACUGUAGAGGCAGGCGGAAUUCCGCGUGUAGCAGUGAAAUGCGUAGAUAUCUGGAGGAACACCGGUGGCGAAGGCGGCAUCCUGGACCGACACUGACGCUGAGGAGCGAAAGCCAGGGGAGCAAACGGG
rnacentral:rRNA from 1 species